UCGAGAAUAUUUAGCAAUGGACGAAAGUCUGACUAUGCGACGCCGCGUGCAGGAUGAAGGUUUUCGGAUCGUAAACUGCUUUUGUUAGGAAAGAAAAUGCUAAGCUUAAUAAGCUUAGAACUGACGGUACCUAACGAAUAAGCCACGGCCAACUCCGUGCCAGCAGCCGCGGUAAUACGGAGGUGGCAAGCGUUACUCGGAAUCAUUGGGUGUAAAGGGCAAGUAGGCGGUUUAAUAAGUGAGGGGUGAAAUCUCCCGGCUCAAUCGGGAAACUGCCUUUCAAACUGUUAAACUUGAGGAUGGUAGAGGAAAGCGGAAUUUCCGGUGUAAGGGUGAAAUCUGUGGAUAUCGGGAAGAACAUCAACGGCGAAGGCAGCUUUCUGGGCCAUCUCUGACGCUGAAGUGCGAAAGCUAGGGGAGCAAACA
rnacentral:rRNA from 1 species